GAACGCUGGCGGCAGGCUUACACAUGCCGUUCAAGCGCCUGACUUGCAGUGACCGGCGAGAUAGUUAGUAACGCGUGGGAACGUGCCCUUCGGUACGGAAUAGCCCCGGGAAACUGGGUGUAAUACCGUAUACGACCUCCGGGUGAAAGAUUCUAUCGCCGAAGGAUCGGCCCGCGUUAGAUUAGCUUGAUGGUGGGGUAAAGGCCUACCAUGGCUACGAUCUAUAGCUGUUCUGAGAGGAAGAUCAGCAACACUGGGACUGAGACACGGCCCAGACUCCUACGGGAGGCAGCAGUGGGGAAUAUUGGACAACGGGCGAAAGCCUGAUCCAGCCAUGCCGCGAGGAUGAAGAAGGCCCUACGGUUGUAAAGUCCUUUCAAUGGUGAAGAUAAUGACGGUAGCCAUACAAGAAGCCCCGGCUAAUUUCGUGCCAGACAGCCGCGGUAAUACGAAAGGGGCAAGCGUUGUUACGGAAUUACUGGGCGUAAAGCGCACGUAGGCGGACUUGUAAGUUAGGGGGUGAAAUCCCGGAGCUCAA
rnacentral:rRNA from 1 species